ensembl:lncRNA
AGCAAUGUUAUUUUUCCCCACCCCCAGCUAUGGCAUGGCUAAUUUUCUGGUUUCUUGAAUGCAUAGAAUGAAUGAUAAUCUAAUACAAUAUAUGGUUUUAUGUCAUCCCAGAAUAAAAUGUGAAAUUAAAUGCAAGUGAUAAGGGAUUAAAACAAAAAGGCUGGAUAUAUAUUACCAGACUAUAGCCACAGUACAAUACACAACUCAGCUCAGCUCACUGAUUCCUAUAGAGGUUUAGCAUGCCUAAUGCUGGGAUCUAUGUGGAGAUAGAGAGAGAAGGUAUACAUGCAUGUAAACACCAGAUAAUAGUUAGGAUUUAUGGAGGAAGACAUGCAUUGACCCACAAAGAUGAAUGCAGUCAUGUUUGUUGAACCCAUCAGGGGUAUCAUAAAUCUCCUGGUUUUGCUGGCCUAGCUGGGACUGCAAACAUGUAAACAAUGAUUGCAGCAUUUCUAUUGACUCUUUUCUGGCCCUGCAAUAAAUUUCUGAGAGUCAUAAAUGAACAGUGUUGCAAAACAUAAAAUAGCACAUUUUUAUGUUUUCUUAUUUCACCUUGUGCCUUACCUGUCUUCAUUCUGCUGAAUGGUUUCACAUAUGACAUCUCUAUCUGACUCUAUUGUGUGCUUUUCUGUUAUUUUAGAAAUCCAUUACUUCUAAAAUAUCAAGUGCUUAAGUAUGCUCUUAAGAUAUAAGCCCCUUGGGGGCAAAAUCCUCAUUCUGCAUGAGCCCUACUGAAUAAUGGGAGCCAUGCAAAAGCAAGUUUUGUGCCCUUUUCGUAUAAUGCAAUACAAGUCUCAUCUUGCCCUCCUCCCCCAACUGUUCUUUUAAAACGGUUUCUUGUAUAUCUGUAUAUUUUUGAAGUCUGCCCUCAAGUCUCUGUGGAUGGUUUUGAUGUUGAUUGAUGAUACACUCUCUUUGUCGGAGUGCAAACUUGAAAAGUGUUUUUUUAAAAAAAACAACAACCCUAUUGUUCAUCACUCGGCUCAUGUUCCUUGUAUCACAGCAGAUUUCCCCAUGAUGCUUAUGAAGACAACAUCCCUGGAAAAUCUAUCAAAACUGUUUACUCUACUUCUGAUAGGGCCGUUAUUGAAAAAGAAAUGUGCACUUACUGCCGGAAGCCCUUGGGCACAGACACAAAGAUGAUUCUUGAUGCCUUGCAGAUUUGCUGUCAUGCAACUUGCUUCAAGUGCGAAAUCUGCAAAGCACCUUUGGAAAACGUGAAGGCGGGAGAUAGCAUUUGGAUUUACAAGAACACGGUGCAUUGUGAACCAUGCUAUUCCAGAGUUAAAUGUAAGUUGUACUGGAGGGCACCUGCUUGAAGGUUCAGUUGUUAACAACCAGGGAGGCAUGGGGUUCAAAGUACCUCUGAAACACUUCAGUUCAGUUCCUGUUUAUGGUGCUGUAGAUUGCAGGAUUUGGUGAAUGCAGAAGUCCAACAUACAUUUAUUGAAUGUCCAAAUAUAUGUUUCCCUGCUUGAUAUUCACAACACCGGUAGGGAGAAAAUUCAGUUCAGUUUGCGUGUAAAGAGAAAUAUAUCAAACUCAUGCUUUCUGAAACAACACGCAACCCGAGACACAGUUACCCUUCUAAAUUCACACUUAUCCAAAUUUUGUGAUACCGUUCUCUAACCAAACAAUGUUUACAAAAUGCAUAUAUUAGGUAAAAAUGCACAUUAAAAUGAAUGCAUUAGUUAAGAUAAUAUAGUAACAUGCAUUAUUUUAGGGGGAAUGGCUUGCAAAAUUUGGGUACAUUAGUCACAACUGUGCAAAAAUGUGUGGAUUAGGAGAAAUUCCCAGUAAAAUGCUGGCAAAAUGUCAUG